UGUCAAGAUGGCCGAGUUGGUCUAAGGCGCCAGAUUAAGGUUCUGGUCCGAAAGGGCGUGGGUUCAAAUCCCACUCUCGACAAUAUUAGAUC
rnacentral:tRNA from 1 species